rnacentral:rRNA from 1 species
UACGUAGGGGGCAAGCGUUGUCCGGAUUUAUUGGGCGUAAAGAGCGUGUAGGCGGCCUGGCAGGUCAGCUGUGAAAACUCAAGGCUCAACCUCGAGACGUCGGUUGAAACCACCUGGCUAGAGUCCGGAAGAGGAGUGUGGAAUUCCCGGUGUAGCGGUGAAAUGCGCAGAUAUCGGGAAGAACACCCGUGGCGAAGGCGGCACUCUGGGACGGUACUGACGCUGAGACGCGAAAGCGUGGGGAGCGAACAGG